GACGAACGCUGGCGGCGUGCUUAACACAUGCAAGUCGAACGGUAAGGCCCUUCGGGGUACACGAGUGGCGAACGGGUGAGUAACACGUGGGUGAUCUGCCCUGCACUUCGGGAUAAGCCUGGGAAACUGGGUCUAAUACCGGAUAGGACUCCGGACUGCAUGGUCUGGGGUGGAAAGCUUUUGCGGUGUGGGAUGGGCCCGCGGCCUAUCAGCCUGUUGGUGGGGUGAUGGCCUACCAAGGCGACGACGGGUAGCCGGCCUGAGAGGGUGACCGGCCACACUGGGACUGAGAUACGGCCCAGACUCCGACGGGAGGCAGCAGUGGGGAAUAUUGCACAAUGGGCGCAGCCUGAUGCAGCGACGCCGCGUGAGGGAUGACGGCCUUCGGGUUGUAAACCUCCUUCAGCACAGACGAAGCGCAAGUGACGGUAUGUGCAGAAGAAGGACCGGCCAACUGCGUGCCAGCAGCCGCCGUAA
rnacentral:rRNA from 1 species